rfam:Ipomoea nil DNA, scaffold: scaffold2036, cultivar: Tokyo-kokei standard.
AUUGGGCAAAUGAUGAAUCUCAUGUUAAAUGGGUAAUUUGCGUCUGAAUUUUCUUUGAAGUUAAAUCACCUUGGAGAACUGAUGCCCUUG